GACGAACGCUGGCGGCGUGCCUAAUACAUGCAAGUCGAGCGCAGGAAGCCGACGGAACCCUUCGGGGGGAAGUCGACGGAAUGAGCGGCGGACGGGUGAGUAACACGUAAAGGACCUGCCCUCAGGUCUGGGAUAACCACGAGAAAUCGGGGCUAAUACCGGAUGGGUCAUCGGACCGCAUGGUCCGAGGAUGAAAGGCGCUCCGGCGUCGCCUGGGGAUGGCUUUGCGGUGCAUUAGCUAGUUGGUGGGGUAAUGGCCCACCAAGGCGACGAUGCAUAGCCGACCUGGGAGGGUGAUCGGCCACACUGGGACUGAGACACGGCCCAGACUCCUACGGGAGGCAGCAGUAGGGAAUCUUCCACAAUGGACGAAAGUCUGAUGGAGCAACGCCGCGUGAACGAUGAAGGCCUUCGGGUCGUAAAGUUCUGUUGUAAGGGAAGAACAAGUGCCGCAGGCAAUGGCGGCACCUUGACGGUACCUUGCGAGAAAGCCACGGCUAACUACGUGCCAGCCGCCGCGGUAACAC
rnacentral:rRNA from 1 species